rfam:Schistosoma mattheei strain Denwood, Zambia genome assembly, scaffold: SMTD_scaffold0002707
ACAACGGCCCUUUUCAGGGCCAAUCACCAAUUGGUUUGCAACUUCCU